rnacentral:misc_RNA from 1 species
ACUAUUUUAAUAUCUUCUAUAUACUAAAAAGUGAUUUUUAUUUUUUUUUAAAGAUUUUUAGAGGUAACAAAUUCAGAAUAACCACCAGAUAAAUGCAUAAUCUUUUAAAUUAUUUUUAGGGUAAUUCAGUUUUUGUAAACAUUGUCUUUUCUGAGUUGUGAGAUAUUCGAGUUAGAAUGUGUGCUUUUAAAUUUUCUAGAUGUCAUUGAAAAGUUGUUAGUGCAAUAAUGUGUUGAACCUAUGAGAAUUUCAAGUGCACAUUCCAGUGAACUAAGAUGUCUGUGUUCCCAGUUCAUGCUUUCCAUUAUACCUUAUAUACCGGUAGAUGUGUUAGAUAGCUGUAGUUUAUAUAAUUCUGAGUGUCUGUGAUGCAUGUACUGAUGCUUGUGUUACUUCUCCAACUGUCGAUUACACUUUUCGAGGUUUGUGUGCAAAGUGUGAGAAAAUGAUUGCUUCGGAGUUUAUCUUGAAUGUGCAAUAUGAGUUGUUAAUAUUUAGCCUUUGAUAUAUGAAUUAUGUUUUUAUUCAUUUAACCUGAAUUUUUACAAAAUUAAAUCUUCUACAUUCC